rnacentral:rRNA from 1 species
GCAAUGGACGAAAGUCUGACCGAGCAACGCCGCGUGAGUGAAGAAGGUUUUCGGAUCGUAAAACUCUGUUGGUAGAGAAGAACGUUGGUGAGAGUGGAAAGCUCAUCAAGUGACGGUAACUACCCAGAAAGGGACGGCUAACUACGUGCCAGCAGCCGCGGUAAUACGUAGGUCCCGAGCGUUGUCCGGAUUUAUUGGGCGUAAAGCGAGCGCAGGUGGUUUAUUAAGUCUGGUGUAAAAGGCAGUGGCUCAACCAUUGUAUGCAUUGGAAACUGGUAGACUUGAGUGCAGGAGAGGAGAGUGGAAUUCCAUGUGUAGCGGUGAAAUGCGUAGAUAUAUGGAGGAACACCGGUGGCGAAAGCGGCUCUCUGGCCUGUAACUGACACUGAGGCUCGAAAGCGUGGGGAGCAAACAGGAUUAGAUACCCUGGUAGUCC